UGUAUUUGAUUUUAUAAACCCAUUUACAACCAAUGGGUUUCUUACCAGGAGGAAGAGGAACAACAUCCCAAGUAUGGUUUGUGUCCAAAUCAUCAAACUCCUUUCUCAUGGCAUCCUGCCAUGCUGGAACAGAUGCAGCUUGAGAGUAAUAUAGAGGUUCAGAUUCCAAAGAGGAGGAAGAUGAUCCAGAGAAGGCAGGAAGUUGACAGACAUAAUCCUUAAGAUAAGAGGGAGGAUUAUACUGUCUUUGAGAUUUUCUGGGAGCAGAAACAUAAGAGGAAGAGGCUAAGGCAGAAGGGGAGAUAUCAGGAUUGAAAGAAGGAAUUAAGGCAGAUUCAGUAGAGUCUGGAACAGUAGGAUGAGGCACUUGAACAGAUGUAGGAGGAAGAGGAGAGAAGAUGGGAAUGGGAAAAUAUGGAUCAUCACAAUGUUCUACAGGUGGAACAAAAGGAAAGGAUAAAGCAAAAGGAUGAGCAGAAAAGGAUACAGUUUUAAAAGGAAAACAAGAUUCAUGGAAUAUAACAUCCCUGGAAACCAAACAUUUCUUGGAAGCAAGAUCAUACAAUUUAUAACCCUUCUUGGAAAAAGGAUAACCCAGGAAAACACAAGAAAUGGCUCUUGGCCUUAACUUGUCCCUUUGAGGGAUUGGGACAGUAGCAUAGGCAAGGCACCCAAAUUCUCUCAAAUGAGAAUAGGUUGGAGUUUUGCCCAUACAAAAUUUCAUUAGGAGACUUAUUGUGAAGUAAUCUGGAUGGUAUUCUGUUAAGGAGGUAAGUGGCAGUUAACAAACAGUCCCCCCAGAAAGACACAGGUAACCCAGAUUUGAAAAGUAAAGCUCAACAUGUUUCAAGGAUGGUUCUAUGCUUUCUCUCAACAACACCUUUCUUUUGAGGAGAAUGAGGGCAGGUGGUUUGAUGAAUGAUCCCCUGACUACUAAAGAAAGAUGUACCCUCAAUUCUAGGCCCCAAUUCUAAAGCAUUGUCACUUCUAACAGUUUGAACCACAUCAUUAAAUUGGGAUUUAACCAGAGAAAGUAAUGACUUAAGCAGAGAAAAAGCAUUGCUUUUGGAUCCCAUUAAGUGUGUCCAGGUUGCCCUAGAAAAAUCAUCAAAAUUGUAAGGAAACAUCUACAACCAGAAGAAGUUGGAGUAUGAUAAGGCCCCCAAGUAUCCACAUGAAACCCAUUAAGUGUGUCCAGGUUUCCCUAGAAAAAUCAUCAACAAUUGUAAGGAAAUAUCUGCAACCAGAGGAAGUUGGAGUAUGAUAAAGCCCCCAAGUAUCCACAUGAAUUAAUUGAAAGGGUCUAGAGGUGUUAAUAGAACUAUCAGGAAAGGGGAGCCUAGUCUGUCUUGCCAUAGGACAGACAGA
rnacentral:lncRNA from 1 species